rnacentral:rRNA from 1 species
UCUGUAGCAAGGUUAACCGUAUAGGGGAGCCGUAGGGAAACCGAGUCUUAACCGGGCGUUAAGUUGCAGGGUAUAGACCCGAAACCCGGUGAUCUAGCCAUGGGCAGGUUGAAGGUUGGGUAACACUAACUGGAGGACCGAACCGACUAAUGUUGAAAAAUUAGCGGAUGACCUGUGGCUGGGGGUGAAAGGCCAAUCAAACCGGGAGAUAGCUGGUUCUCCCCGAAAGCUAUUUAGGUAGCGCCUCGUGAAUUCAUCUCCGGGGGUAGAGCACUGUUUCGGCUAGGGGGCCAUCCCGGCUUACCAACCCGAUGCAAACUGCGAAUACCGGAGAAUGUUAUCACGGGAGACACACGGCGGGUGCUAACGUCCGUCGUGAAGAGGGAAACAACCCAGACCGCCAGCUAAGGUCCCAAAGUCAUGGUUAAGUGGGAAACGAUGUGGGAAGGCCCAGACAGCCAGGAUGUUGGCUUAGAAGCAGCCAUCAUUUAAAGAAAGCGUAAUAGCUCACUGGUCGAGUCGGCCUGCGCGGAAGAUGUAACGGGGCUAAACCAUGCACCGAAGCUGCGGCAGCGAACGUAUCACCCAAGACAACUUUACGGAGUUGACGAUUGACGGAGCGAAGCGACGUCAAAGCGUUCAUUAAAGUCGAGUUGGCUUAGGGAUACGUUCGUUGGGUAGGGGAGCGUUCUGUAAGCCUGUGAAGGUGUGUCGUGAGGCAUGCUGGAGGUAUCAGAAGUGCGAAUGCUGACAUAAGUAACGAUAAAGCGGGUGAAAAGCCCGCUCGCCGGAAGACCAAGGGUUCCUGUCCAACGUUAAUCGGGGCAGGGUGAGUCGACCCCUAAGGCGAGGCCGAAAGGCGUAGUCGAUGGGAAACGGGUUAAUAUUCCCGUACUUGGUGUUACUGCGAAGGGGGGACGGAGAAGGCUAUGUUGGCCGGGCGACGGUUGUCCCGGUUUAAGCGUGUAGGUGUGUGUUCCAGGUAAAUCCGGUUCACUUUAACACUGAGGCGUGACGACGAGGCACUACGGUGCUGAAGCAACAAAUGCCCUGCUUCCAGGAAAAGCCUCUAAGCAUCAGGUAACACGAAAUCGUACCCCAAACCGACACAGGUGGUCAGGUAGAGAAUACCAAGGCGCUUGAGAGAACUCGGGUGAAGGAACUAGGCAAAAUGGUGCCGUAACUUCGGGAGAAGGCACGCUGACACGUAGGUGAAGUGAUUUACUCAUGGAGCUGAAGUCAGUCGAAGAUACCAGCUGGCUGCAACUGUUUAUUAAAAACACAGCACUGUGCAAACACGAAAGUGGACGUAUACGGUGUGACGCCUGCCCGGUGCCGGAAGGUUAAUUGAUGGGGUCAGCGUAAGCGAAGCUCCUGAUCGAAGCCCCGGUAAACGGCGGCCGUAACUAUAACGGUCCUAAGGUAGCGAAAUUCCUUGUCGGGUAAGUUCCGACCUGCACGAAUGGCGUAAUGAUGGCCAGGCUGUCUCCACCCGAGACUCAGUGAAAUUGAACUCGCUGUGAAGAUGCAGUGUACCCGCGGCAAGACGGAAAGACCCCGUGAACCUUUACUAUAGCUUGACACUGAACAUUGAGCCUUGAUGUGUAGGAUAGGUGGGAGGCUUUGAAGUGUGGACGCCAGUCUGCAUGGAGCCGACCUUGAAAUACCACCCUUUAAUGUUUGAUGUUCUAACGUGGACCCGUAAUCCGGGUUGCGGACAGUGUCUGGUGGGUAGUUUGACUGGGGCGGUCUCCUCCUAAAGAGUAACGGAGGAGCACGAAGGUUGGCUAAUCCUGGUCGGACAUCAGGAGGUUAGUGCAAUGGCAUAAGCCAGCUUGACUGCGAGCGUGACGGCGCGAGCAGGUGCGAAAGCAGGUCAUAGUGAUCCGGUGGUUCUGAAUGGAAGGGCCAUCGCUCAACGGAUAAAAGGUACUCCGGGGAUAACAGGCUGAUACCGCCCAAGAGUUCAUAUCGACGGCGGUGUUUGGCACCUCGAUGUCGGCUCAUCACAUCCUGGGGCUGAAGUAGGUCCCAAGGGUAUGGCUGUUCGCCAUUUAAAGUGGUACGCGAGCUGGGUUUAGAACGUCGUGAGACAGUUCGGUCCCUAUCUGCCGUGGGCGCUGGAGAACUGAGGGGGGCUGCUCCUAGUACGAGAGGACCGGAGUGGACGCAUCACUGGUGUUCGGGUUGUCAUGCCAAUGGCACUGCCCGGUAGCUAAAUGCGGAAGAGAUAAGUGCUGAAAGCAUCUAAGCACGAAACUUGCCCCGAGAUGAGUUCUCCCUGAGACUUAGAGUCUCCUGAAGGAACGUUGAAGACGACGACGUUGAUAGGCCGGGUGUGUAAGCGCAGCGAUGCGUUGAGCUAACCGGUACUAAUGAACCGUGAGGCUUAACCUUACA